AAACACAAUUUUAGAGCAGUGAAAAAUACAUGAAAUACUCAUGUACCGUGUGUCUUUCGUGAUGUUUUCUAAAUUGCAUCUUACGGAGUAUUUAUGUACUUGAUCAACUGAAUAAUCUAGAGAAAACCUAAUGAUACCUUAUUGUACACAAAUUAUGAAGAAGUGGCGCUGGAGCUGUUCGGUAUUUCUGCUGCUUCGAGAAACAACAUUACCUACUAAAAGUUAGAUAAAAGACGGUUUCCACCGAACAAUUCAAAAACUAUAGAAAGUCCAGGAAUAUCUGAUGAAAAUUUUGAAAGUUGAAAACUGGAAGGAUGGACGAACGUUGCGAAGCUAUAUUUCCAGUGGUAUUGGACGAUGCAAGAACUAAAGCCUAAGAAUUAUGGAUAAUACGUAUGGGAUUUAAAAACUUCAGGACCGUUUUUAGGUGCGCCUUGGAUAUUAGACGAGCUGCAUUGCUUAGAAACCAAAAGUUACACCGACUAUGAAAAAACAGUCCUGGAGUUUCUUGUGAUGACUGCAGCUUCUUCAAAUCAACGAAAAGCAUUGGGAAGCUACAUUAAUGUGGCUUGGGACGUUUCCAUCAAAUGGCCAAUGCGAACGUGAUGAAGCAAAUUUUUACGUGGCGUUGAAUGAUGCAAGAACUAAAGCCUUAAGGUGUGGAUACAUGAAGAAAAUACUUUACUUCUGGUCUAAGACACUGAAAAGUAGAUGUGGACUUUAAAUGAAAAUGAAACAUUCUCAAACGAUUGAAUAUUUCCCAUUGCUGCAAGGAACAGCUAAAAAGCAGAUAAAGAAGUAUUAAUACAAAUUGUGAUGAAACAGUUUUCCGUAGAAAAAUGAAAGAACUAAAGAAAGUGCCUUUUCUGGCUGAAGUGAUUUCGAAAUGAGAGAUGUAUUAAUACUUGGAAUCCAAAAGUUACAUAAAUUAUGAAAAAAAAUAGUGCUGGACGAUGCUUGUGAUAACUGAGCUGCUUCCGACAAAAACCAGUUAUCGAGAAAACUAUAUUUAUAUGACUUGAAACUUUUCCAUAUUCACCAAAGAACGAGGGGCCAUGAAGAUGCUACCAAGCAAAAGUCUAAAGGUGCUGUGGCCAUAGGCAACGUAAAAAGCUUGAUUUUUGCAAUAUAUACCCAAAAAUGGUCUGUGGAUCCUUUAUUAAGACAGGUCUAGUGUCUAUACUGUCACCUUUAAAAGUAGUCUUUUUUCUCGAUUGAAUUUAUUCUUUUUAGAAAUAAUUUUUACACCAGUA